GAGAAAACUGAGGAUAAGAAAAAUUAUGCAGAUUGUCUAGAAUAUGGCUGCUGGCAAAUAUGGUAUAGGAGAUCAGAUCUGCCCAUUCCCAGAGCCCGAGGUCUUAAUCUGUUCUGCUGACUUAAAUUCUGUAUCAUGAGUUUUACAACCUGAAGCUUGGGAACUCCUGUGAAUCCCUGGAGUGAUGUCUAAAGAAUACUUCAGUGAACUGUACACACUACAACUCCCAUAUUGUCUUGUAGUUUUUAAAAAAUGGUUUCUUUAAAAUAAAUGCAAGGGGGUCUCUGAACAAUACGUGCAGGUCUCCAAACUGGCUGAAUUUACCAUGGACUAUUUUUCUAGUAUUUGGAUUUUAAUAGAGAGCAAAGUUGGGAUGACCACACCCUUCCUUGGGCUCAAGGACUUUAAAAAUGUCCUAGCUGCUCAGAAGUUGGAGAGUUCUGCAUUUCAGCAUUGGUGGUAUUCUCUGCUGGUGGAAUGCAAAUGGAAGCCAGAGAGAAAGGGAAUCUGUGAUGCAGUUUUCAUAUAGACUGGCUUCGAGGGCAGACAGCAGAUUCCAGGACCCAGGAGGUUGUUUGCUGUACUCUCCCUUGUACAGUUAGCUGUCUCUAGUGCUUGAAUGCACUAAUUGUCCUUUGGGUAUGGAUGAGGUAAUGAAGGAAAGGGAUGCUGGGAAGAGAGGCCACAUGAGAAGGUUAGUGUGGGCGUAACACACAAUGCAGAGGAUUUGUAUUUGUGCCAUCUGCCUGCUUCUAUGAUUCAUCUGGGUCUGUGCACCCUUGUAAUCAGCAGGCUGCAGCAAAUUACGUGUUGCUUGCUAAAGAAAAAUUAAAGCUGAACUUCAGUGAGGAGGAAAGUAUAUGCCCCACCGUGCUGAAUGCAAACAAACACACAGCAUCAGGGAAGUCACAUAGAAUGACGCUCUGAGAAGACUGUUAGAGUUUCCCCCGAUGCCCCGGGGAA